rnacentral:rRNA from 1 species
UGCUGAGGAAUAGCCUGAGGAAACUUGGAUUAAUACCUCAUAAUACAAUUUUUUAGAAAGAAAAAUUGUUAAAGUUUUAUUAUGGCAUAAGAUAGGCGUAUGUCCAAUUAGUUAGUUGGUAAGGUAAUGGCUUACCAAGACGAUGAUUGGUAGGGGGCCUGAGAGGGGCGUUCCCCCACAUUGGUACUGAGACACGGACCAAACUUCUACGGAAGGCUGCAGUGAGGAAUAUUGGUCAAUGGAGGAAACUCUGAACCAGCCACUCCGCGUGCAGGAUGAAAGAAAGCCUUAUUGGUUUGUAAA